AUGGGCACAUUAUUUUGCUCGGCACUGAUGUGCAUGUCGCCGCCGCCAUUGCAUCCUCCAGCUCAACCCCACCAUUGCAGUCCAAUGACUCCAGUUGUAGUCAUUCGCCACUGUCGUGCGAGUCCAAGUCGUGCCACAACAGCAGGGCGACUCUUCCAGGACGAAUAUCAUCUCAACCAGCUCCAAUUUUGCGUGCAUGGGGUGGUGGGUGCUGCUCCAGCAAGCUCCUUCGUCCCCGACCCAUCCCUGAAUGCGGAUGCAGCACUGCAGGUUCAGGUUCACCCUGCAUCCCUGAUGUAG
rnacentral:rRNA from 1 species